GACGAACGCUGGCGGCGUGCUUAACACAUGCAAGUCGAACGAAGAGCGAUGGAAGCUUGCUUCUAUCAAUCUUAGUGGCGAACGGGUGAGUAACGCGUAAUCAACCUGCCCUUCAGAGGGGGACAACAGUUGGAAACGACUGCUAAUACCGCAUACGAUCUAAUCUCGGCAUCGAGGAUAGAUGAAAGGUGGCCUCCACAUGUAAGCUAUCACUGAAGGAGGGGAUUGCGUCUGAUUAGCUAGUUGGAGGGGUAACGGCCCACCAAGGCGAUGAUCAGUAGCCGGGCUGAGAGGAUGAACGGCCACAUUGGGACUGAGACACGGCCCAGACUCCUACGGGAGGCAGCAGUGGGGAAUCUUCCGCAAUGGACGAAAGUCUGACGGAGCAACGCCGCGGGAGGGAUGACGGCCUUCGGGUUGUAAAGCUCUGUUAAUCGGGACGAAAGGCCUUCUUGCGAAUAGUGAGAAGGAUUGACGGUACCGGAAUAGAAAGCCACGGCUAACUACGUG
rnacentral:rRNA from 1 species